rnacentral:rRNA from 1 species
AGCAGCCGCGGUAAUUCCAGCUCCAAUAGCGUAUAUUAAAGUUGUUGCAGUUAAAAAGCUCGUAGUUGAAUUUCGGGGUCAGUAGUUUGGUCAUGCCACAGGUAUGUACUGAUCUUACUGAUUCCUCCUUCCUGAUGAACCGUAAUGCCAUUAAUUUGGUGUUGCGGGGAAACUGGACUGUUACUUUGAAAAAAUUAGAGUGUUUAAAGCAGGCUAACGCUUGAAUACAUUAGCAUGGAAUAAUGAAAUAGGACGUUCGAUCCUAUUUUGUUGGUUUCUAGGAUUGACGUAAUGAUUAAUAGGGAUAGUUGGGGGCAUUAGUAUUCAAUUGUCAGAGGUGAAAUUCUUGGAUUUAUUGAAGACUAACUACUGCGAAAGCAUUUGCCAAGGAUGUUUUCAUUAAUCAAGAACGAAAGUUAGGGGAUCGAAGACGAUCAGAUACCGUCGUAG